CCUACGGGAGGCAGCAGUGGGGAAUAUUGGGCAAUGGGGGGAACCCUGAUCCAGCGACGCCGCGUGAGUGAAGAAGUAUUUCGGUAUGUAAAGCUCUAUCAGCAGGGAAGAAAAUUACGGUACCUGACUAAGACUCCCCGGCUAACUCCGUGCCAGCAGCCGCGGUAAUACGUAGGGGGCGAGCGUUAUCCGGAUUUACUGGGUGGAAAGGGAGCGUAGACGGUGCGGCAAGACGGAGGUGAAAGGUCGGGGCCCAACCCCGGGACUGCAUUGGAAACUGUUGAACUGGAGUACAGGAGAGGAAAGCGGAAUUCCUAGUGUAGCGGUGAAAUGCGUAGAUAUUAGGAGGAACACCAGUGGCGAAGGCGGCUUACUGGACUGUAACUGACGUUGAGGCGCGAAAGCGUGGGGAGCAAACAGGAUUAGAUACCCCGGUAGUC
rnacentral:rRNA from 1 species